rnacentral:rRNA from 1 species
UGGGGAAUAUUGCACAAUGGGCGCAAGCCUGAUGCAGCCAUGCCGCGUGUGUGAAGAAGGCCUUCGGGUUGUAAAGCACUUUCAGCGGGGAGGAAGGCGAUAAGGUUAAUAACCUCAUCGAUUGACGUUACCCGCAGAAGAAGCACCGGCUAACUCCGUGCCAGCAGCCGCGGUAAUACGGAGGGUGCAAGCGUUAAUCGGAAUUACUGGGCGUAAAGCGCACGCAGGCGGUCUGUCAAGUCGGAUGUGAAAUCCCCGGGCUCAACCUGGGAACUGCAUUCGAAACUGGCAGGCUAGAGUCUUGUAGAGGGGGGUAGAAUUCCAGGUGUAGCGGUGAAAUGCAUAGAGAUCUGGAGGAAUACCGGUGGCGAAGGCGGCCCCCUGGACAAAGACUGACGCUCAGGUGCGAAAGCGUGGGGAGCAAACAGG